UGGUAGGAAUGGAUGAUGAUGCUGCAGAGA
rnacentral:piRNA from 1 species